rnacentral:rRNA from 1 species
GCAGUCGAGCGGACCGAUGGGAGCUUGCUCCUUUAGGUUAGCGGCGGACGGGUGAGUAACACGUGGGCAACCUGCCCUGCAGACUGGGAUAACUUCGGGAAACCGGAGCUAAUACCGGAUAACACCGAAAACCGCAUGGUUUUCGGUUGAAAGGCGACUUUUAGCUGUCACUGCAGGAUGGGCCCGCGGCGCAUUAGCUAGUUGGUGAGGUAACGGCUCACCAAGGCGACGAUGCGUAGCCGACCUGAGAGGGUGACCGGCCACACUGGGACUGAGACACGGCCCAGACUCCUACGGGAGGCAGCAGUAGGGAAUCUUCCGCAAUGGACGAAAGUCUGACGGAGCAACGCCGCGUGAGCGAAGAAGGUCUUCGGAUCGUAAAGCUCUGUUGUCAGGGAAGAACAAGUGCCGUUCGAACAGGGCGGUACCUUGACGGUACCUGACGAGGAAGCCACGGCUAACUACGUGCCAGCAGCCGCGGUAAU